GACGAACGCUGGCGGCGUGCUUAACACAUGCCAGUCGAACGGAAAGGCCCUGCUUUUGUGGGGUGCUCGAGUGGCGAACGGGUGAGUAACACGUGAGUAACCUGCCCUUGACUUUGGGAUAACUUCAGGAAACUGGGGCUAAUACCGGAUAGGAGCUCCUGCUGCAUGGUGGGGGUUGGAAAGUUUCGGCGGUUGGGGAUGGACUCGCGGCUUAUCAGCUUGUUGGUGGGGUAGUGGCUUACCAAGGCUUUGACGGGUAGCCGGCCUGAGAGGGUGACCGGCCACAUUGGGACUGAGAUACGGCCCAGACUCCUACGGGAGGCAGCAGUGGGGAAUAUUGCACAAUGGGCGGAAGCCUGAUGCAGCAACGCCGCGUGCGGGAUGACGGCCUUCGGGUUGUAAACCGCUUUCGCCUGUGACGAAGCGUGAGUGACGGCAAUGGGUAAAGAAGCACCGGCUAACUACGUG
rnacentral:rRNA from 1 species